rnacentral:rRNA from 1 species
UACGAAGGGUGCAAGCGUUACUCGGAAUUACUGGGCGUAAAGGGUGCGUAGGCGGUUCUUUAAGUCUGCUGUGAAAGCCCCGGGCUCAACCUGGGAAUGGCAGUGGAUACUGGAGAGCUAGAGUGCGGUAGAGGGUAGUGGAAUUCCCGGUGUAGCAGUGAAAUGCGUAGAGAUCGGGAGGAACACCAGUGGCGAAGGCGGCUACCUGGACCAGCACUGACACUGAAGCACGAAAGCGUGGGGAGCAAACAGG